CGUGCCUCGGGGGUUUCCUCCGGGUACUCCGGUUUCCUCCCCCGGUCCAAAGACAUGCAUGGUCAUGGGAGUUUUCCUUUCACUACUGCGUACUGAAUUGAUGUAAAAGAAAGAACCAACAUUUUAAAGAAAUUUCUUCACAUCCCAUCAUCAUCGCCUCGUAGCUCCGCUCCUCUUCAGCUGCAAGUGUGAAGAUCAUGAAGUGUCCAGCAUUCCACAUUUUAGCGAGGCAUGGACCACCUACACGAGUCACGAGGUGAAAUUCAACAGCUUCCACCUGAGAUGCUUGCGGCGCAUUCUGCAUAUCCAGUGGCAGGACAAAGUACCCAACACAGAGGUUCUGGAACGCACCGGCAUGAAUAGCAUGUUCACCAUUCUCAGUGAGAGGCGCCUUCGCUGGCUCAGCCAUGUUAGGAGAAUGGACCCGGGUCGCAUACCCAAGGACCUGCUGUACGGUGAGCUAGCAGAAGGUGCACGACUGACCGGGCGGCCACGUCUGCGGUACAAAGAUGUCUGCAAAAAGGACAUGAAGAUGGCCAACAUCAACGUAAACAAUUGGGAGAGCUGUGCUGACGACCGCCCUGCCUGGCGUCUUGCUGUCAGGGCGCUCAGAAAGCAGAGGAGGUGAGAAACACAAACCUCGCUGCAAAAAGAGCCAGGAGGAAGGCAAACCAACAACAGCCUCAGCAAGCAUCAGCAUUUACCUGCAGCAAGUGCAACAGAGACUGUCAAUCCAAGAUCGGACUUUUCAGCCACUCGCGAAGGUGCAGAUAGGACACCUUAACCGGAAGCUACACCAUCGUCUCUUGAAGACGGACGGAUGCCGAAGAAGGAGAUCCACUUACCAGCAUUGUAAUUAUACAGUUAUUUUAUAACAGAAUUUCUAAUAGGUUUGCUCUAUGGCCUUCUGCCUCAUGAAAACACAAUAGAAAUAAUGAUAAUUUUUUUCUCUAAAAGCGUACAAAAUAAUCUACAAUCUAUUUGAUGUCUUUAUCCAAUUAUUUCUUAAUAACGUUUAAGAAUGUUUAAAUUGUUACCUUGAAUUA